rnacentral:lncRNA from 1 species
CCAAUGGAUAUUAUGAAUACUUUUAUGAAAAUGAUACUCAAUAUCCAUACCAAACUUUCCCCAAUACUUUUCAUGAUAACAUAUUCUUUACCAACUAUGUGACACCGAUAUUCAUCCCAAUGCCAAGUCCACAGUACAUGUUGAACACACAUCUUUAUGUCAAUAUUUUCCCAAACUAUGCACCUCAAACUCAUACUAAUAUUCCUCAUAUCAUUGAUGUUAUGAUGCGUCAAAGCUUUAUGAAUGCAGUUGAUGUCCAGUACUGUCUGCAACUAAGUCGUUCUAUCUAAAUGUCCACUUUCUUUUAUCCGCAGUAAUAGUUUUCAUUUCAUUUGCCGUGCUUACUGACCUUAUUAUGAUGUUGUAAUACUUACUGAUAUGUCGUGCAACUUAUAUUACUUUGCUGUUUUAGUUUUAGUUAGUAGGUAGUAUGGUAUCGUCUAUUGUAAUCGUAUUGGAUGUGUAAUAUUUUCCACUUAUCUUUCCCGUCUUAUAAAAUGUUCUAUUUUCUAAAUUUUUUUUUCAUUUCAAAUUUUACCGCCCCAAUAUCAUUUUUCAUUCUUAUUAAAUGAAAUCUAAAAAUUCAGAAAAUAAUUCUUUGUUCUUCUAAUAAUUAAUGUGAGAUGUUAACCAUGUUUAUGAACCCACCCCCAAUCCCAAGUUUCAUUCUUAUUAAAUGAAAUCCAGAAAUAAUUAUUUAUUUCUCGUUAAUAAUGUUUAGAUGUUACCUAUGUCUAUCAACUUCUUUUGUAUAUAGUUACUAAUUUUUUAAUAAAUGACUAAAAAUAAACACAUCAAAUAUUUUUUGAUCUUUAGAAAUUCAGUAUUUAUCAUAUUUUUCCAAUCGUCAUGGAGUCUUCAACGCAAGACAACACCGAUCUCGACUUUUUUUUUUGAAACAAAAUCAGCUGAUAAUAUAGAUUCCGAAACAAAAAAUAGGGUGUGACCACAUGCGAUCCACCCCACACCCUCCGCAUUGUUCCGACCCCGGAUCUUACGAUCGUUUGGGCCUUCACAACCUUUGGGGAACUGACUCGAUGUUUCCUAGAACGAUCUAUGCCUCAUCGUUCUUACGUAGUGGGCCUAAGGCAAUGGGGAGUGUAAAAACCCUGGUGUGCCCAAGGCAUCUUUUCCUUUGCCAAGGGAAAACUCUGCCAUUACCUUUCGGUCUACUACACAUAAGUGACUCCACAUAUCGUUUCUACUUUAAUAAUAGAGUCCACCCCCUG